rnacentral:rRNA from 1 species
GAUGAACGCUGGCGGCGUGCCUAAUACAUGCAGGUCGAGCGAACAGACGAGGAGCUUGCUCCUCUGACGUUAGCGGCGGACGGGUGAGUAACACGUGGAUAACCUACCUAUAAGACUGGGAUAACUUCGGGAAACCGGAGCUAAUACCGGAUAAUAUAUUGAACCGCAUGGUUCAAUAGUGAAAGACGGUUUUGCUGUCACUUAUAGAUGGAUCCGCGCCGCACUAGCUAGUUGGUAAGGUAACGGCUUACCAAGGCAACGAUGCGUAGCCGACCUGAGAGGGUGAUCGGCCACACUGGAACUGAGACACGGUCCAGACUCCUACGGGAGGCAGCAGUAGGGAAUCUUCCGCAAUGGGCGAAAGCCUGACGGAGCAACGCCGCGUGAGUGAUGAAGGUCUUCGGAUCGUAAAACUCUGUUAUUAGGGAAGAACAAAUGUGUAAGUAACUAUGCACGUCUUGACGGUACCUAAUCAGAAAGCCACGGCUAACUACGUG